rnacentral:lncRNA from 1 species
GUGAGGUCGCUUCUUUACGGUUCUGUCCCCUAGGCCCCUUCCUUCCAUAAGACCUACUCAGGACUCCACUGGGCUGCUGACUACUCACCCUCCCCUCAGGUCAUCUCCUGACCCGUACACAGUUAUGUCCACCCAGGGUCUGCUUGGACACCUGUGCCUGAUGUUCACCAGGGGCCAGAUGUCGUCCUCAGGCCUGAUGUCCACCUAGGGCCUGAUGACUGCCUUGGCCUAUGUCCCUCUGGGGGCCUUGUGUUCACCUGGGGACUGUAUCCAGCUGGGGCCUGAUGGCCUACUGGGUCUUGUUGUUCACCUAAGGCCUUGUGUCCACCUGGGGACUGGUGAUCACCUGGGGCCUGGGUGUCCACCUGAGGCCAGAGGUGCACCUAAGGCCUGAGUUUUCACCUGGGCCUGAUGAUCACCUGGGGACUGGGUGUGUGCCUUGGGUCUUUUCCCUUUUCCUGAACAGGGCUUGCAGUUUCCAAACCAGACACAAUCUCCCAGUUGGAGAAAGAAAAAGGAUCCUAGAUGAUAGUGAGACAAAUUUCAGGAAACUCCAUCCAAAUAAGUAAAUGAGAAUGAGGACAGGAUUCAUUGUAAGUAACAUUCUCAGGUGGUGUUCCAAAGUUAUCUUUUGCCUGGGUACAGUGGCUCACACCUGUAAUCCCAGCUCUUUGGGAGCCCAAGGUGGGAGGAUCACUAGAGGCUAACAGUUUGAGACCAGCUUGGGCAAUGGAGUGAGACCCCCAUUCUGAAAAAAAAAAUUAAAAAAUUUAACAGGCAUGGUGGCAUGUGCCUGCAGUCCCAGCUACUCAAGAGGCUGAGGUGGGAGGAUCGCUUGAACUCAGGAGUUGAAGGCUGCAGUGGGUGAGGAUCACAACACUGAAUUCCAGCUGAGGUGACAGAAUGAGACCCUGUCUCUCUAAAAAACAAGCAAGCAAACAAACCAAAAACCACAGACAAACCAGACCCCUCUUAGCAGAAUACUUCCAUGAGGUAAUAAAAGGUUUAAUUUAUUUCAGAAGUUUCUAGAUUUUAUUGUCUCUAUUUAGCCAAAGCCACAAGAAAAGUCAAAUUCAUAUCUUUAAAUGCUUUCAUUAUCAAUCAAGAAAGAAGAAAGUGAAACGAACAAACAAUUUUACUCAAGAAACUAGUGAGAAAUCAAAGAAAUGUCCAAGAAGUAGGAGACAAGAAUUAAUCAAAACAGAUUAACAGUGGAAUAAAUAAAUGAAUCCAACUGGUUCUUUGUAAUGGAAUGUAGAAAGACAUACUCUAUUCUUCUGGAUAGGAAGAUGAAAUAUCAUAAUCAUAUCAAUGCAAGUUUUAUGCAUGCUCAAACAUGUAUAAACUAAGAAAAAAUCUGAAAGGACAGACAGCAAAAUGUUUGCAGUUUUUUUCCUCCAAGUGGUAAGAUUAAAGAACACAGACAAAAAUAGAAACUCCUCACAUGACCCACCACGAAGCCCAUCAGAUGGCAGAAUGCAGAAUCAGGUUGCAAUGGACUGAUCUUAAAACAGAUGAAGCAGUGGAGAAAAUCUUCCUGGAGCUGAUGGUAUAAUUUGCUUCUUGAAACAAUGACAGUCCAUGAAAUAAGGUGGGGAAGAUGUUUUGAACCUCUCUCAGCAGCAGAUCCCUAAAUCACAGACCCAGAACUUGGAGGAAACAGGAAACAGGAGGCCAUCUCUGCACCUCUCCAGCACUGCUCUGGUUGGUGGGCAGAAUAUCAUACAAUCAUCACGAUUCUUAUAUCAAAAACCAAAUUCUAGACUGAUUAAAUAAUUAUUUUUUUAAAUGAGAAAAGUUAUCGUUUAUUUGAUCUUGGGCUAGGGAAGAUAUUUCCAAGCAAAAAGGGUAAAAAGAAGGAAAAAGAAAUGAUUAACAGAUUGGAAGGCAAUAACAAUAUAAUAUCAAGUGCUGGCAAGAGCUCAGAGAAGUGUGUGUUCUCAUGACUGCUGGAACAAAUUGGUAUAAUAUUUCUGAAGGGCAAUCUGGCUGAAUAUGUUAGAAGUCUUUAAAAUAUUUAUACUCUGACUCAGUAAUUCAACAUCUAGAAAUUUUUCCUAAGUAAGUAAUAAGAAAGAGUUGAAAAAAGUAUUUGAAUAUUGAAAGACUGGAAAGAACAUAAAGGUUCAAUAAUACAUAUAUGUUCAACAACAGGGGACUAGUAAAUAUGAAUUAUUUAUAUGAUAAAAUACUAUCUAACCUUAAAAUAAUGUUUUAAAUAAUAUUUAAUGAUGAGAAUAUGCUGAGAAAAGUUUAAUCAUUUUAAAAAAGUUACAUGCAAAAUUAAAGUUAAUAACAUGUACAAGAUUAUUCUAAUUUUUUUUUUUUUUGAGAUGCAGUCUCACUGUUGUCACCUGGGCUGGAGUGCAAUGGAGUGAUCUCGGCUCACUGCAGCCUCCACCUCCCAGGUUCCAGCAAUUCUCCUGCCUCAGUCUCCUGAGCAGCUGAGAUUGUAGGCACCCGCCACCAUGCCCGGCUAAUUUUUGCAUUUUUAGUAGACACGGGGUUUCACCAUGUUGGUCAGGCUGGUCUCGAAUGCUGGCCUUGCUGGGGUGCCGUGGAGUGGGGCCCCGCCCUGGUGAGUUGUUCACUGGGACCACCUUUCUGGAAUGCUGGAAGGCGGCGUGGCAGGACCCACCGAAUGCCUUCAAAAGCCAGUGGUCCAUGCCUCUGUCUCCUUCGUUAGACUCUUCCAGAAGAGACUGGUCAGAGGUGCAGCACAGAUGAACCUACAAAGCUGUUCAUCAAAGCAUCACUUACAAUGGUGAAAAGGCAGAAGAAUCACUGAAUUCCACCAAGGUGGAGCAGCCGAGGAAA